UACGGGGGGAGCAAGCGUUGUUCGGAUUUACUGGGCGUAAAAGGCGCGUAGGCGGUCAGUGCAAGUCAGUUGUGAAAUCUCCGGGCUUAACUCGGAACGGUCAACUGAUACUGCUCGACUAGAGUGCGGAAGGGGCAACUGGGAAUUCUUGGUGUAGCGGUGAAAUGCGUAGAUAUCAAGAGGAACACCUGCGGCGAAGGCGGGUUGCUGGGCCGACACUGACGCUGAAGCGCGAAAGCUAGGGGAGCGAACGGG
rnacentral:rRNA from 1 species